GAUUAUGGCUCAGGAUGAACGCUAGCGACAGGCUAACACAUGCAAGUCGAGGGGCAGCACGGGAGUAGCAAUACAACUGGUGGCGACCGGCGCACGGGUGAGUAACGCGUAUGCAACCUACCUAUCAGAGGGGAAUAACCCGGCGAAAGUCGGACUAAUACCGCAUAAAACAGGGGCACCGCAUGGUGAUAUUUGUUAAAGAGAUUCGCUGAUAGAUGGGCAUGCGUUCCAUUAGGUAGUUGGUGAGGUAACGGCUCACCAAGCCGACGAUGGAUAGGGGAACUGAGAGGUUGGUCCCCCACACUGGUACUGAGACACGGACCAGACUCCUACGGGAGGCAGCAGUGAGGAAUAUUGGUCAAUGGGCGGGAGCCUGAACCAGCCAAGUCGCGUGAAGGAAGAAGGAUCUAUGGUUCGUAAACUUCUUUUGCAGGGGAAUAAAGUGCAGGACGUGUCCUGUUUUGUAUGUACCCUGAGAAUAAGGAUCGGCUAACUCCGUGCCAGCCGCCGC
rnacentral:rRNA from 1 species